GGGGAAUAUUGCACAAUGGGGGAAACCCUGAUGCAGCGACGCCGCGUGAGUGAAGAAGUAUUUCGGUAUGUAAAGCUCUAUCAGCAGGGAAGAAAAUGACGGUACCUGACUAAGAAGCCCCGGCUAACUACGUGCCAGCAGCCGCGGUAAUACGUAGGGGGCAAGCGUUAUCCGGAUUUACUGGGUGUAAAGGGAGCGUAGGUGGUGUGGUAAGUCAGAUGUGAAAACCCGGGGCUCAACCCCGGGACUGCAUUUGAAACUAUCAUGCUAGAGUGCAGGAGAGGUAAGUGGAAUUCCUAGUGUAGCGGUGAAAUGCGUAGAUAUUAGGAGGAACACCAGUGGCGAAGGCGGCUUACUGGACUGUAACUGACACUGAGGCUCGAAAGCGUGGGGAGCAAAC
rnacentral:rRNA from 1 species